GCCCAGCUAGCUUAGUUGGUAAAGUGUGCGACUCCUGAUCUCAGGAAUUCAGAGUCAUGAGUUCAAGCCCCAUGUUGGGCA
rnacentral:tRNA from 1 species